rnacentral:rRNA from 1 species
GAUGAUCGCUUAGCCCUUUAAAAAAUACGUGCAAGUCUAACGGGUAUAGCCAUAUACUCCUGGCGCACGGGCUGCAUAACGAGUAACCAACCUGCCCUGAACUGGGGGAUAGCCCGCCGAAAGGCGGAUUAAUACCGCAUAACCCAACAGCCUGGCAUCAGGCAAUUGGAAAAGAUUUAUUGGUUCAGGAUGGAGUUGCAUGACAUUAUCUAGUUGGCGGGGUAACGGCCCACUAAGGCGACUAUGUCUAGGGGACCUGAGAGGGUGAUCCCCCACACUGGCACUGAGAUACGGGCCAGACUCCUACGGGAGGUAGCAAUAUGGAAUAUUGGGCAAUGGGCCAGAGCCUGACCCAGCCAUGCCGCGUGCCGGAUGAAGGCCUUCUGGGUUGUAAACGGCUUUCCUCAGGGAAGAAAAAGAGGAUGCGUCCUAGGGGGACGGCACCUGAGGAAUAAGCACCGGCUAACUCCGUGCCAGCAGCCGCGGUAAUACGGAGGGUGCAAGCGUUGUACGGAUUUAUUGGGUUUAAAGGGUGCGUAUGUGGCCCGUUAAGUCCGGGGUGAAAGCCCACAGCUCAACUGUGGAACUGCCCUGGAUACUGGUGGGCUUGAGUCCAUAUCAGGUUGGCGGAAUGGAACAUGUACAGGUGAAAUGCAUACAUAUCUUCCAGAACCCCGGAUUGCGUAUGCAACUGACUAGGCGGGUUCCGCCAUUGAGGCCCGCUAGCGUGUGGACCGAUCAGGAUUGGAAGCCCUGUAGUCCGCGCCUUUCCGAUGGGUUCUCGCUGGUGGCGUAAGACUGUCAGUGCCUCAGCGUAAGCGGUAAGUAUCCCCACCUGGGGAGCUCGCUCGCAAGUGGGGAGGUCCGAGGAAUAGCGGGGGACCCGCGCGGGUGGUGGAGCAUCAGGGCAGAUUAGCUGUUACGCGAGGUACCUUUCUUUCGCGAGAAUUCGCGUGACCGGUUCGGAGAUUUUCCUGUCCUUCGCGCCGCUGAGCCAGGUCUGUCGUGCCCCUCGUCUGGUGAUACCGUGAGGUGAUGUGCCUGCGACGAGCAGCGAGCGCUGUCCACCCUUGCCAGCCCGUCAGGGUGAGGACUCAGUGGAGGCGGCCGGCGUCAACUCGCAGGAAGGUGGGGAGGACGUCAAGUCAUCAUCCCCCUCAUGUCCCGGGCUUCACGCAUGCUACACUGGCUGGUACAGAGAGGGGCGAGCCUGGGAGGCUGAGCGACUCUCGGAAAGCCGGUCUCAGUUCGGAGUGGGGUCUGCAACUCGACCUCAUGAAGUCGGAGUCGCUAGUAAUCGCAGAUCACGCAACGCUGCGGUGAAUACGUUCCCGGGGC